AGUCUUUGAUCUAACUUUUUGAUCUGCUUCGGCCGAGGUUAUCGCCGACGAUGCCCUCUGCCCUAUGGAGGUUGUGAAGGUCCGUGUUGAGACAUACUCUAGCUUUCGAAGAGGUUUUUCUGAUGGGCUCCGUAAAGUUUGUGAAGUCUGAAGGAUAUGCUGAGUAUGCAGAUUGUACAAGGGAAUUGUCCCACUAUAGGCAGACAAAUUCUAUGUCGUAGAGAGCAAAGUAGUCAAGCUUGGACCAGAUGUCCAACAUCUCCAGAACCUUGAUUGGUUAUCGUACAUACCUAAACUCUAUUCUGGAAAGUAGUACAUGUAAUCAUUAGUUCUAGGAGAGUAUGUACACUGAAUUUGCUAUACUACAGGCUGGAGCAAAGUAGUCAGGCUUCCAUGUAGAUUUAAUUAGUUAUAGGCUUUAUGGGAUUAAUCAUUCUAUCACAAGUUCUUCAAGUUUUUGGAUGAAUCCUCUAAGGUAAUUCUGAUCUAAGUA